rnacentral:rRNA from 1 species
UACGGAGGUGGCAAGCGUUGUUCGGAAUUACUGGGCGUAAAGGGCGCGUAGGCGGCAUGGCAAGUCAGGUGUGAAAGCCCCGGGCUUAACUCGGGAACUGCAUCUGAAACUGCUGUGCUUGAGUCCUGGAGGGGGUAGUGGAAUUCCCAGUGUAGCGGUGAAAUGCGUAGAUAUUGGGAGGAACACCGGUGGCGAAGGCGGCUACCUGGACAGUGACUGACGCUGAGGAGCGAAAGCCAGGGGAGCAAACGGG